CCUACGGGAGGCAGCAGUGGGGAAUAUUGGGCAAUGGGCGCAAGCCUGACCCAGCAAUGCCGCGUGAAGGAAGAAGGCUUUCGGGUUGUAAACUUCUUUGACAGGGGAAGAGCAGAAGACGGUACCCUGAAAACAAGCCACGGCUAACUACGUGCCAGCAGCCGCGGUAAUACGUAGGUGGCAAGCGUUGUCCGGAUUUACUGGGUGUAAAGGGCGUGUAGCCGGGAAGGCAAGUCAGAUGUGAAAUCUGGAGGCUCAACCUCCGAAUUGCAUUUGAAACUGUUUUUCUUGAGUACUGGAGCGGCAGACGGAAUGCCUUGUGUAGCGGUGAAAUGCGUAGAGAUAAGGAGGAACACCAGUGGCGAAGGCGGUCUGCUGGACAGCAACUGACGGUGAGGCGCGAAAGCGUGGGGAGCAAACAGGAUUAGAUACCCUAGUAGUC
rnacentral:rRNA from 1 species